GACACAACUACCAACCUCCAACUACCCUAUUACAAUUAAAUGCACACGCUCAUCUUCCUCCUACCUCCUUGGCUUAAAAGAGGCCAUCUUCUUCACCACACCAUAUCUUCCCCAAGGAGUUUCAUUCUCAGCUCAGCUCUUCCUCAGCUACGCUCUGUCCCAUUCUUAUAUGGUUCUCAUUGCCAUGUCAAGCUCCAGCGCUCCCCUUGUUGCACUAGAGGAGCAGGCACCCCUGCCACUCAUAGUUUGCCCAUUCUGCAACAAUGGCAUGGUUCAGUGUUGGGUAUCCCGCACAAACACCAAUCCAGGCAAGCACUUCUACAAGUGCUAGCACGAGUGGUCUCGCAAGUGCAACUUCUGGAAAUGGGAGGAGAACUACAUAAACGUCAUUCGCGCCAAAUGGCCCAGGCUGUUCACCAUCCCUUCUCGUGAAGACAGGAAGUUCCACCGCAUCAUCAUCGCCCUUCUGGCAUUGAAUCUGCUCGCCGUGCUGUUCGUAUGCUGCAGGGUCGCCUGAACCGCUUGUAUUUUGCCAAGAUUACACUGCUGCGACCUCUUCCCCUAAUGUGCAACUGUUAGCACAACCAGUACUUGUUUAUUGUUCUGCCGAUCUGGCAUGGAGACCCGAUGUUGUUACAAUAUGCUGAUAUGUCUUUAGAAAUCAGUAAUCCAUCUGUCCGCCUAGGCCGGACUAGUAUUUCCAACCACUAUGUAAUUUUUUCUUCUCACAAAGCACCUGAUGUGGUUGCUUAGUGCUUGUGAACUUGUAACGCCUACCAACGGUUUUAAUCCUAAUCGUUGUCAUAUGAAA